GGGUUCACAUGGCUUAAGCGCGUGA
rnacentral:piRNA from 1 species